CUGCCGCCGCUGCUACUUUGACGUGGAGCUGUACCUCCUGGUUUUUCCCAGCCGCCGCCGCCGCCGACUGAAGCUUCAACAGAGCCUGACGAAGACUACUCAAUGACAAAGAUCGAUCAAUGCCGCAAUCUGCAUCGACGGACUGCUGAUCCUGGAGUCCCACAACCUACUGCACCUUCCUUCUGAUCUCAGCAAUCUUCUUCCUGCCCGGCUUCCUCUAGCAGUAAACUUCAAUUGGUCCUCCUCCUUCUGCAUCCCUUCAAAAAUAAAAAUUGAUACCACUGUACCUAUCGCAGAUCAACCCAAAACAAAGAAGCC
rnacentral:lncRNA from 1 species